AGGUUGCCAGGACCGAAAAGACGUCCAAUAUAUACUGGACCUGCUCCUGAAAACCAGAGACAAGUUUCAAAGAUGAAUGAAAAGUUUGCCAUACUAGCAAAACUUCCCAAGAUGUUUCCGCAUGGAGUUCCGAAUGGACCGAUCCGACUCCCACAAAGAAUGCAAGCCAUGUUUUCCAAGAAACCUUCACGUGGGUAUUUUGAAGACUUUUAAUUUUUGUAAGAGGAACAAUGAGCUGAAACUUCGCAUUGCCGCGGAGUAGAUGGCGAAUAUUUGCCUGGUCGUCAUGUUGUCAGCAUUGCCACCGCAAUCUCUGAGUUAAUCACAGAUUUGGCUAUAGUCAAGAGAAUA